AAAGUCGUAACAAGGUUUCCGUAGGUGAACCUGCGGAAGGAUCAUUACAAAUCCAACGUCCACAUAUAUCAUAUGUGAGACCUCGUUGAAUCGUUCGUGAGAUCGUAUGGGCAGUCUCUAGUAGACUGGUCUACGACUUGAUUCCAACCUAGUGUGAUCGUUGUGUUCAUAUGUAUGUAUCUUUUAAACACAAAAAGAACAACUUAUAACAAUGGAUCUCUAGGCUCCU
rnacentral:misc_RNA from 1 species